UACGUAGGGUGCAAGCGUUGUCCGGAAUUAUUGGGCGUAAAGAGUGUGUAGGCGGUGCUCUAAGUUCGGUGUGAAAUCUCCCGGCUCAACUGGGAGGGUGCGCCGGAAACUGGGGUGCUGGAGCGCGGGAGAGGAAAGCGGAAUUCCUGGUGUAGCGGUGAAAUGCGUAGAUAUCAGGAGGAACACCCGGCGGUGUAGACGGCUUUCUGGACCGUAGCUGACGCUGAGACACGAAAGCGUGGUAG
rnacentral:rRNA from 1 species